AUGUUUUUUGUGAAAUAAAAAGACUUUAUAAAAAAAAAAUCUGUUCUUAUCAGUUUAAUAUCUGAUACGUUCCCUAUCUGGGGACCAUACAUUAAAUGGAUUUUUGAGAACAGGGGCCGAUUUCGAAGCUUGCUUCCGUCGCCCCCUAUGCAUUGAACCGAUAUGGCAGUAUCUUUGGGUACAGUGCACCACCC